UACGGAGGGUGCGAGCGUUGUCCGGAAUCAUUGGGCGUAAAGGGCGCGUAGGUGGCCCGGUCAGCGUGCGGUGAAAGCUCGGGGCUCAAGCCCCGAGUCGGCCGUGCGAACUGCUGGGCUUGAGCACUGUAGAGGCAGGCGGAAUUCCGGGUGGUAGCGGUGGAAUGCGUGAGAGAUCCGGAAGACACCGGUGGCGAACGGCGGCCUGG
rnacentral:rRNA from 1 species